GACGAACGCUGGCGGCGUGCUUAACACAUGCAAGUCGAACGGAAAGGCUCCAGCUUCUUGGUGUACUCGAGUGGCGAACGGGUGAGUAACACGUGUGUGAUCUGCCCUGCACUUUGGGAUAAGCCUGCGAAACUGGGCCUAAUCUCGGAUAGGAUCGCACUUUGGUGUGUGUGGUGGAAAGGUUCUUCUGUUGUGGGAUUAGCUGGCGGCCUAUCGGAUUGUUUGGGGGGUAAUGGGAUGCCACACCGGGGACGGGAAGCCGGCCUGUGCGGGUGGACGGCGGCAUUGGGACUUAGGGACGGCCCAGACGGCGACGAGAGGCAGCAGGGGGGAAGAUUGCACAAUGGGGGAAGCCCGGAUGCAGCAAGGCCUCGGGGUGGAUGAAGGCUUUCGGGGGGUAAAAACGUUGCGCGAGGGACGAAGCUUGUUGUGACGGUACCUAGAGAAGAAGCACCGGCUAACUACGUG
rnacentral:rRNA from 1 species